AGUCGAGCGAACUGAUUAGAAGCUUGCUUCUAUGACGUUAGCGGCGGACGGGUGAGUAACACGUGGGCAACCUGCCUGUAAGACUGGGAUAACUUCGGGAAACCGAAGCUAAUACCGGAUAGGAUCUUCUCCUUCAUGGGAGAUGAUUGAAAGAUGGUUUCGGCUAUCACUUACAGAUGGGCCCGCGGUGCAUUAGCUAGUUGGUGAGGUAACGGCUCACCAAGGCAACGAUGCAUAGCCGACCUGAGAGGGUGAUCGGCCACACUGGGACUGAGACACGGCCCAGACUCCUACGGGAGGCAGCAGUAGGGAAUCUUCCGCAAUGGACGAAAGUCUGACGGAGCAACGCCGCGUGAGUGAUGAAGGCUUUCGGGUCGUAAAACUCUGUUGUUAGGGAAGAACAAGUACAAGAGUAACUGCUUGUACCUUGACGGUACCUAACCAGAAAGCCACGGCUAACUACGUGCCAGCAGCCGCGGUAAUACGUAGGUGGCAAGCGUUAUCCGGAAUUAUUGGGCGUAAAGCGCGCGCAGGCGGUUUCUUAAGUCUGAUGUGAAAGCCCACGGCUCAACCGUGGAGGGUCAUUGGAAACUGGGGAACUUGAGUGCAGAAGAGAAAAGCGGAAUUCCACGUGUAGCGGUGAAAUGCGUAGAGAUGUGGAGGA
rnacentral:rRNA from 1 species